GGGGUAAUAGUUAAUAAUAACAUUUAAUUUGCAUUUAAAAAGUAUUGCCUUAAGGCAAUUUACCUUA
rnacentral:tRNA from 1 species